AACGUACAAACAUCCUUACAGUAUAUUUAAGGACAGAAGUGCUUUGGUGCCGGGCCAUAGCAGACAGUCAGAGCUUUGUAUAAGCGAAGCUGUGGAAAUGACUGGGAGCACAUAGCGAGAUAAUACAGUGCAUGGAAUUUUGUGUAUGGUUUAAUCUUCAGUGUAUGUGAAGAAAAGAGGAGGGAUACUCUUAUAGGAUGAAAAAAGAGACAGCAUUAAAUAAGGCCCGUAUCCUGAAGAAGAGUGGAGGAGAUCCUGCUAAGACACACAAUCAGCGGUAAUCAAAAGACUUGCUGAGGAGGAGCGGAGAGAGCGAAUGGCAAUAACACCUUUAGUCCUGAGGAAUUUAAAUGCUCCCGCACAGGAUGGACUGUAAAUUGAGAGGCCACAGAGAAAGUGGCGCUAUCAAGGCCGUGUACGUGAUGAAGUGCCCUUGCGGCUUAGUUUAUACAGGGAAGACAAAAAAGACAAUUGAAAGUGAGAGUAACAGAUUACAAAAGUGCUAUUAGAAGACAGGGCCUUAAUUCCUGCGCAGCAGAACACCACGGAACACACAUUUGAUCUCUUACUUUUCUGACGUUUUGGGGAAUAGAAAAGGCAGAAUGUUGAAGAACACCAGGAUUUAAAAUGGCUUCAACUCGAGUCCUUCCGGAUUUAUAAACUCAAUAUCGUGGCCCCUUUUGGCAUGAAUGCGGAAUCGGAUUUUAAACCUGUCCUCUUCUCUUGAACCAAAUGGGAUUUUCAUCAUCAUUUAAUAUUUACAAUGAAUUUAUUCAAAUUAGCUGCAGUGUAUAUAAGCAGGUAAACGUGGAGACAAGCACGAGCUUAAGCACAUGCACACACACACACAGUUGCAUUUGAUCUUCUAUUAUGUAUUUCAAAGUAUUUGCAAAUGAUUUGUCUUGUUUGAUCAAGCCUUACGAGUUGGCAGAACAAAAUUAAUUGUUUUUGCUUUUAUGUUAUUUCAAGCAGUGGCUGACGCUGCGCAGGUAUGAAAACAUUGAAGCAAUUCAUGCUUUUGAGAAUA